GGCAGCCGCGGUAAUUCCAGCUCCAAUAGCGUAUAUUAAAGUCGUUGCAGUUAAAAAGCUCGUAGUUGAAUUUCGGGAUCAGUUGAUCGGUCGUGCCUCGGUACGUACUGGUCAAAUUGAUUCCUACCUUCUGAUGAACCACGAUGUCAUUAAUUUGAUGUCGCGGGAAAUCAGGACUGUUACUUUGAAAAAUUAGAGUGUUUAAAGCAGGCUCGCGCUUGAAUACAUUAGCAUGGAAUAAUGAAAUAGGACGUUUGAUUCUAUUUUGUUGGUUUCUAGGAUCGACGUAAUGACUAAUAGGGAUAGUUGGGGGCAUUAGUAUUCAAUUGUCAGAGGUGAAAUUCUUGGAUUUAUUGAAGACUAACUACUGCGAAAGCAUUUACCAAGGAUGUUUUCAUUAAUCAAGAACGAAAGUUAGGGGAUCGAAGACGAUCAGAUACCGUCGUAGUC
rnacentral:rRNA from 1 species